rnacentral:rRNA from 1 species
GACGAACGCUGGCGGCGUGCCUAACACAUGCAAGUCGAACGGAAAGGCCCUGCUUUUGUGGGGUGCACGAGUGGCGAACGGGUGAGUAUCACGCGUGUAACAUGUCCUUGACAUUGGGAUAACUUCAGGUAACUGGGGCUAAUACCCGAUAGGAGCUCCUGCAGCAUGGAGGGGGUUGGAGAGAUUCGGUAGUUGGGGAUGUACUCGCGGCUUAUCAGCUUGUUGGUGAGGUAGUGGAUCACAAAGGGUUUGACGGGUACACGGCCUGUGAGGGUGACCGGCCACAUUGGUUCUGUGGGACGACCCAUGAGCCUCCGGGAUGCAGCAGUGGAGAAUAUUGCAGAAUGGACCGAACCCUGAUGCAUCAACGCCGCGUGCGUGAUGACGUCCUUCGGGUUGUGAACCGCUUGCGCCUGUGACAAAGCGUGAUUGACGGUAAUGGGUAAAGAAGCACCGGCUAACUACGUG